UUAAAUUGACGGGGGGGCCCCACACCAAGCGGGUGGAGCAAGUGGUUUAAAUUUGAGCAAACGUGAAGAACCUUAAGAGGUAUUUACAUCCUCGGAACUUGGCAGAGAUGCGUUGUGCUUUUGGGAGCCGAGAUACAGGUGCUGCAUGGCUGUCGUCAGCUCGUUCGUGGGAUGUUGGGUUAAGUCCCGAAACGAGCGCAACCCUUGUCCUUUAGUUGCUAGCAGGUAACGCUGAGAACUUUAGGGAGACUGCCGGUGACAAACCGGAGGAAGGUGGGGACGACGUCAAGUCAUCAUGGCCCUUACGACCUGGGCUACACACGUGCUACAAUGGGCGGUACAGAGGGUUGCCAAGCCGCGAGGUGGAGCCAAUCCCAGAAAACCGUUCGUAGUCCGGAUCGGAGUCUGCAACUCGACUCCGUGAAGUCGGAAUCGCUAGUAAUCGCGAAUCAGCAUGUCGCGGUGAAUACGUUCCCGGGCCUUGUACACACCGCCCGUCACACCAUGGGAGUGGGUUGCGCCAGAAGAGGGUAGUCUAACCUUCGGGAGGACGGUCGCCACGGUUUGAUUCGGAGGGGGGGUGAAGUCGUAACAAGGUAG
rnacentral:rRNA from 1 species